CAGUUUGUAUGAUGAUAAUGAUGUAAUUCAACAAGGUUUUUAUCUGGGAAUUUUCAUCCGCUUAAAAGUUUGUCCUACCAUGAAAGGAUGCUGUCAACUUUUUGCACACGCUAUAGUACCUAGAAAUCCUUCACUUCCAUCAAUCCCUUGUUUACUCCGCCACUGUGUGAUUGUACAGACUGAAGCCAUAACUAUUAUUCUUUUGUAAUCCCAUAUGAAUGUUCUGAAGUAGUGAAAGAUCAGAGUGCUUUUUUUUUUUAUUCCCUCAGAUCCCUCACGAUCACUGCUUUAAUUAAAACACUUGUAUUUUUGUUUUUCCUUCAACUACAACUUAACAUUUGAAUAUUUAGGAGUCUUAGGCUUGCGAUUCAAUUUGUUAAUUGUCGCUUGAGGAAUUUAACUCAAUAGCAUAAUUUUUUUUCUUUUUUUGUAAGUUGCCUGUUUACCUUAGCUCAUCGAAUCUGAUUAAGGUUUCAGGUGGAUACUGAAUUUGAAAAUAUGUGGCUGUUUUGGUGCUAGGUUUAAGAUAUUCGGUUGUUAGUAGGAAAGAAAGGGAGGGAAUGAAAUGGGUAAAAGAGCGGGAAAAUACAAGAAAGUGCGUGGAAGUUGUUUUCUCCUUUUCUGUUGUUUAGAAAGGAAGGAUAAAAGAGGAGAGAAAAUUGAUGAUGAAGAUAAAUUGAUAAAAAUUCAUUUAAAGCAUCCUUUCCUUCACAUUUCCUUCCCCUUUGGAAGGAAAUGAUUGUGUAGCUGUGAAAGAUGAGCUCUUUUGCUUAUCAUUUCCCCUCUUCUAACUUCUCUUCUAUUGAACAAGGGAAAUAGCAUUCACUUCAUUCCUUUCUUCUCAAGUCUUUCUCUACACUCUGGCAUCUCUCCAAUCUAGUAAAGAGUGAAUUAUGUUUUAGGCUCUAACUUGUUUAAUUGGUUGUAGAAAAUGCUUUUGUGGAAAACACUUUUGGCAAUUUUUUGGUGUUUGACAGAUGUAGGAAAAAUUUUCCAAUGGGAAAAAUUUUCCUGGCUAAUGCUUUAAGUUCUGGGAUUUUGCUUACUCGGGAAAACUAAUGAAACUAGCCGUAUACUAAUGCUUAAUACUUCAUUAACCACCAAUUGUCGGCAAAUCCAGCAAUUUACUUCCUUUUUUUUUUGGGUGUUAUUUUGCUUUUAUUGAAGUAGAGUAAAAUCAAGUGGUGUAUAGACUUCUUAUGAGUUCAAACAUCGUCAUGGUCUUCCUCAUUGAUGCAAAAUUAAUUGGUUUGAGUUUACUCCAAAAUUUCUGAAAAUAAUUUUUAGUUUAUUUUAGUAAAGCCUAUUGGACACAAAAGGCUAGAAAUUUUAGCAAUUAUAUUCAAAUGCUCUAAUUUUGGCAAUUAUAUCCAAAUGUUCUAAUUUUGGACCAUAUGUCCCAACAUUUAAGAUUGGGAACCAAACCUCAAAAUCAAUUUGGGGAAUUUUGAAUUUGGUUUACUUGAAGUAGUUAUUGAUGGAAG
rnacentral:misc_RNA from 1 species